AGUGAACGCUGGCGGUAGGCCUAACACAUGCAAGUCGAACGGCAGCACAGCAAGAGCUUGCUCUUACGGGUGGCGAGUGGCGGACGGGUGAGGAAUACAUCGGAAUCUACUUUUUCGUGGGGGAUAACGUAGGGAAACUUACGCUAAUACCGCAUACGACCUACGGGUGAAAGCAGGGGAUCUUCGGACCUUGCGCGAUUGAAUGAGCCGAUGUCGGAUUAGCUAGUUGGCGGGGUAAAGGCCCACCAAGGCGACGAUCCGUAGCUGGUCUGAGAGGAUGAUCAGCCACACUGGAACUGAGACACGGUCCAGACUCCUACGGGAGGCAGCAGUGGGGAAUAUUGGACAAAGGGCGCAAGCCUGAUCCAGCCAUACCGCGUGGGUGAAGAAGGCCUUCGGGUUGUAAAGCCCUUUUGUUGGGAAAGAAAAGCAGCAGGUUAAUACCCCGCUGUUCUGACGGUACCCAAAGAAUAAGCACCGGCUAACUUCGUG
rnacentral:rRNA from 1 species